GGUCUGUCCUCGGGGGGCCGCGCUGGAGCGGCUGAGAGGCGGGUAAGCCCGCGACCCGUAGAACCUGAUCCGGGUCAUGCCGGCGAAGGGAACGGACCGUUCGUACGGA
rfam:Phenylobacterium zucineum isolate lbmp16 W1S__single__contig_2828, whole genome shotgun sequence.